CCUACGGGUGGCAGCAGUAGGGAAUCUUUCACAAUGGGCGAACGCCUGAUGGAGCAACGCCGCGUGCAGGAUGAAGGCCUUCGGGUUGUAAACUGCUUUUAUAAGCGAGAAAUAUGAUGGUAACUUAUGAAUAAGGAUCGGCUAACUACGUGCCAGCAGCCGAGUGCAUACGUAGGAGCCGAGCAUUAUCCGGAGUGACUGGGUGUAAAGAGUUGCGUAGGUGGCAUAAUAAGUAGCUAGUGAAAUCUGGUGGCUCAACCAUUCAGACUAUUAUCUAAACUGUUAAGCUCGAGACCGUUAGGGGUAAGUGGAAUUUGUAGUGUAGGAGUGAAAUGCGUAGAUAUUAGAAGGAACACCAAUAGCGUAGGCAGGUUACUGGGACGGUACUGACACUAAGGCACGAAAGCGUAGGUAGCAAACGGGAUUAGAUACCCUUGUAGUC
rnacentral:rRNA from 1 species